rnacentral:rRNA from 1 species
GACCGAGGGUGCAAACGUUGUUCGGAUUUACUGGGCGUAAAGCGCGUGUAGGCGGCUUGGCAAGUUGGAUGUGAAAGCCCACGGCUCAACCGUGGAAGCGCAUCCAAAACUGCUUCGCUCGAGUCUCGGAGAGGAAGGUGGAAUGCUUGGUGUAGAGGUGAAAUUCGUAGAUAUCAAGCAGAACACCUGCGGCGAAGGCGGCCUUCUGGACGAUGACUGACGCUGAGACGCGAAAGCGUGGGGAGCAAACAGG